CCCUAGGCAACAAAAAAGAGAAGAAAAGAAAAUAGAGAUCUACUGCCAUGGCUAAAAUCGAUCUGCAAUCAACUGUACUGGUCCUGUAGCUCAAGUCAUGGUGAUGGAAAGGAAUGUGUGCUGCACCACAUCUGUGGUGUGCAUAGAUGGGAGGAGGCUGGUGUUGAACAUGCAUGUCAUCAUGCACCAUUUACGGAGGAGGGACAACGAAAAAAGAGGUGGAUGAAGUCUGAUUCUCCAGCGUUCCGGGCUGUGAAAGACGUAGUCCUGGGAAAGAAUCUUCUGCGUGACUUGCAGCAGAUGGCCCUUUUCAAGCACACUGGGUCCCUUGAGGUAUACCACACAGGGAUGCUGAAGUAUGCACCAAAAAGGCUCCACUUCAGCUAUGACACCAUGCUGGCCCGCACACAACUGGCAGUCAUGGAUCAUAACGCAAAUGUUGGCAGGCCACAGGCUAAAACAGCAGAAGGUAAAGAGUAGUCUGCUUCUUUAAAUCUGUCAUAAAUACAUUUUCUAAUACUUGAAAGAUAAAUGUUGUCAGCUUUGUGGAUUAUCAUCAACAUUCUAGCACCAUAUAGUCCAUAAUUGUACUGUGUAGAAAUACUCAACGAAGUAUGAUAUUUAGCUUGUGCGUGUGUUAGGACAACCAAGGUACUCAUUUGCCUACUCGAAGUCAAGCAGUCGCUGGGUUGCCAGGACCAUUUAUGAGCCAACAACCCAGCAUUUCCGGCAAGGCCUCCACCUCGCCAAAAAAGACUGCUUGCAAACAUUGCACCGUUGCCGAGGCCUGAUAAGUCUGAGCUCAUUGCAAAGUCUACGUCCCGUUUCAAGGAUCCUUGAAGCUUUACAACAAUUAUUUGUUUACAUUUACAUGUUUUACAUGUACAGAUUAUUUUUGUAUAUAAUAAUACAAUUAUUUAAAAAAAAAAGGAACAUAAUUGCCACACACUAAA